CCUACGGGUGGCAGCAGUGGGGAAUAUUGCACAAUGGGGGAAACCCUGAUGCAGCAACGCCGCGUGAAGGAAGACGGUUUUCGGAUUGUAAACUUCUGUUCUUAGUGAAGAAUAAUGACGGUAGCUAAGGAGUAAGCCACGGCUAACUACGUACCAGCAGCCGCGGUAAUCCGUAGGGGGCAAGCGUUGUCAGGAAUUACUGGGUGUAAAGGGAGCGCAGGCGGGAAGGCAAGUCAGCUGUUAAAACUACGGGCUUAACGUGUAUACUGCAGUUGAAACUGGUUUUCGUGAGUAAAGUAGAGGUUGGCGGAAGUCCGGGUGUAGCGGGGAAAUGCGUAGAUAUUCGGAGGAACACCGGUGGCGAAGGCGGCCAACUGGGCUUUAACUGACGCUGAGGCGCGAAAGUGUGGGGAGCAAACAGGAUUAGAUACCCUAGUAGUC
rnacentral:rRNA from 1 species